CAAUGCACCCAAGUGACCAGAAGGAGUGGAGUCUGUGUUCACUCCUCUUCAGCCUCAUUUAGCAGUUAGCAGCUGAGGCUGUAACAUAUCUCUGGACAGAUAUUGUACUCCUCUUGAGCUGUCAGUGGUCACUGGAAAGGAAUCAGUUAGAAGGGACUCACAAGAAUCAUGGAGUCCAACUUCUACAUACACAAGGAGGCCCAAUGAGGAAUGAGGAAGAAAGGGACUGUUCAAUCUCCCUAUGGACUCUACUGAAAGAAACUAACACUAAUUUACUGAUGUAGAUCUCCUAAGAAGUUAUCAUUCCGCUCUACUCAGCAUUAGUAAAGCUGCGCCUGGAGUACUUUGUACAGUUAUAUCCCACCAUCACAAAACAGACUCAGUCAUAGCAGAGAGAAUCUAGCAGAGGACAGCCAAGAUGUUGAAGGGUCUGGAGUACUUUUGCCAUGAGGAAAAGCUGAGAGCUGAGACUUUCUCUUCUCCAUGCAGAACAGAUCUUCAAAAACCAUAUGGUCAUGGUCGUGGGCAACCUGCUCUGGGUGUCAAUGCUUGAGCAGAGGUGGUGUACCAUAUGGACCCAGAGGUCCCUUCCAGUCCCAACAGUUUUUAAUUCUGUUAUUCUGUAAGUUCAAGUCUACUUCUGUUUCCUAGCAACCAUUCUUCAGGACAGAUUCAGAUGAUUAGAUUCUAAUGGGUAGAAUGUAUAAAGUCAAAAUGUGAGUGGUUUAAGAAUUUAAUUUCUAAUGUAUGAGUGUUUUCAUCUGUGUACAGAGGAAUAUUCAUAGAA